CACCUUAUCCUUUUUGACUUAUAAGAUGUGCAUUUUCUUAUGAGUAAUUUGAACCUUCACACAGAAACGGAUCCCCCUCGAUUCAGCAACAAGAGUCGGUUAUGAAAUAGCUUUUUAGUUGAUUUUCUCGUUCUUAAGGGCUUUUUGACAUUUUGGUUCUACAGAAACUUUGAAUGCAGAGGACAAACUCUUAUAAAAGUUGCAGCUGAUGGCAAAACCUGAAGAGCACAAUAAAGAGAUGUGUUUCGUUAUAUACAUAACUCUUCUAAACAAAUAAAACAACUAGAAGAUCGAAGGAACUUUACUAAAAGAUAGAACAAGAGUCGAUAAGAAAUUGUUUGUUUGAUGUUACCUGUAAUAAGCUGGGUGUCAAUCCUGCAUAGAGAGCAGGAAUACCACCUUGAUCGACGAUCUUCAAGCUAGUUGCUAAUGCACUCAUUUUUGUGGCCCGUACCUGCAUCUGAAGCUGUCUUCUCACAACUUCAAAUGGGUAUGUAGCGGCUUCAGCACAAGCACCAGCAAUUGCUCCAUAUAUCAAAGUUCUUACUGUACCCAACUCCAGUUGAUCUAAUGCAUUUAGAUCUUCACCUUGUUUCAUAUUUUGUAGUCUUUUCCUCCCUUCUGGUGAAUGCAAAUAAGCUGAUUUUAGUA